GUAGUCCUGGCUGUAAACGAUGUCGACUUGGAGGUUGUGCCCUUGAGGCGUGGCUUCCGGAGCUAACGCGUUAAGUCGACCGCCUGGGGAGUACGGCCGCAAGGUUAAAACUCAAAUGAAUUGACGGGGGCCCGCACAAGCGGUGGAGCAUGUGGUUUAAUUCGAUGCAACGCGAAGAACCUUACCUGGUCUUGACAUCCACGGAAGUUCUCAGAGAUGAGAAUGUGCCUUCGGGAACCGUGAGACAGGUGCUGCAUGGCUGUCGUCAGCUCGUGUUGUGAAAUGUUGGGUUAAGUCCCGCAACGAGCGCAACCCUUAUCCUUUGUUGCCAGCGGUCCGGCCGGGAACUCAAAGGAGACUGCCAGUGAUAAACUGGAGGAAGGUGGGGAUGACGUCAAGUCAUCAUGGCCCUUACGACCAGGGCUACACACGUGCUACAAUGGCGCAUACAAAGAGAAGCGACCUCGCGAGAGCAAGCGGACCUCAUAAAGUGCGUCGUAGUCCGGAUUGGAGUCUGCAACUCGACUCCAUGAAGUCGGAAUCGCUAGUAAUCGUGGAUCAGAAUGCCACGGUGAAUACGUUCCCGGGCCUUGUACACACCGCCCGUCACACCAUGGGAGUGGGUUGCAAAAGAAGUAGGUAGCUUAACCUUCGGGAGGGCGCUUACCACUUUGUGAUUCAUGACUGGGGUGAAGUCGUAACAAGGUAACCGUAGGGGAACCUGCGGCUGGAUCACCUCC
rnacentral:rRNA from 1 species